rnacentral:lncRNA from 1 species
UAAAAUGGGGUGGGAGAUUGCUGCAGUCGGUUCUCAAUGUUACCAACUUGUGCUUCUAGGUCGUCCAAUCUUGUACCAACGUAGGUCUGGAGUUGGUCAAUGCGUUGUAUGACAUCAUCUAGUGUUGUAGAAGAACUUGGUUGAUCAUUAUGCUGCACUUGUCCACGUUGGUGAUACCUCCGACCACAUUGCCACUUAGACUCAGUGCACUAGUGAUACCUCCGAC